GAAGGUGUCGAGAUGCUUGCAGUCACUCUGUCAGUGCUGGCUAAUCAUGAUGGUACUUGGUGCAUUCCUGCUCUUAUCUCUCUUAAUAGGAGAAUCUGUUGGGAAUACUAUAACACUCUCUCAUUCCUCAGUGGUCAUCAAUGAGGGAGAAAGUGUCACUUUCUCCUGUAACUACAGCAGUAGUGAUGUCAGUAACUUGCAGUGGUAUCGGCAAUAUCCCAACUCUAUCCCAGAGUUCCUCUACUACAUAUAUGAGGCUGGUACCACUUCAGACCCAGUUCCCCGUCUGACUCCCUCCAUAAAGACAGAGGAAAAGCGUGUGUUUCUGGAGCUCUCCUCUGCAGAGGCGUCUGACUCUGCUGUGUACUACUGCGCCCUGGUGCCCACAGUGACAGGAACUCAGACUCUGCUGUACAAAAACCUCUCAGAUGUGCAGGAGGAGGGAGAUUCAACAUGUCCCCUUCACAGACAGAGAAUCUGUUGGGAAUACUAUAACACCCUCGCAUUCUUCACUGAUCGUCAUCGAGGAAGAAGCUGUUACUUUCUCCUGUAACUACAGUGGUAGUGUCACUAACUUGCAAUGGUAUCGGCAGUAUCCCAACUCCAUCCCAGAGUUCCUCUACUACAUAUAUGUGGCUGGUACCACUUCAGACCC